rnacentral:lncRNA from 1 species
CGAUCCCCGGUACCAAACAUAAAACAAAGAUUAGAUUAACCCUCUCAGUGAAGUUUUGUACUUAUCCUAGGCUCCAAGCCAAUACCUGGAUCCUGUGUGACUUUAGGACACUUCCUUGAAGCUUUUUAUAAAGAGCUGCUUGCCCUCCGUUGGGGUUCUGUGUACGCUUUGAUAGGAGGAAGAUAACCACAGGCGAAUGCAGAACAGAGGAGAAGAUGGCCCUGCUCCGGGGCGCUGGACAGAUAUUUGACC